CUAAAAAGUGCGUCACGGAUAGUCUGUCGUCUGCGCUGCGCCUUAAGCUUUCCUUAUUUAUCACCGUUAUAGUGUCGUAUUUGCGCAGUGUGUGAAUCUGUAGUCGAAAUAUACAUAAAUUAAACAGACAAUGCCUAAUAAUGUAUUAUCUUUAAGUCGGGGAAUGGAGAAUGAAUUUUGAGGUUUACAUGUACUAUCAGAGAAAUUUAUU